rnacentral:rRNA from 1 species
AGACCCGAAACCCGGUGAUCUAGCCAUGGGCAGGUUGAAGGUUGGGUAACACUAACUGGAGGACCGAACCGACUAAUGUUGAAAAAUUAGCGGAUGACCUGUGGCUGGGGGUGAAAGGCCAAUCAAACCGGGAGAUAGCUGGUUCUCCCCGAAAGCUAUUUAGGUAGCGCCUCGUGAAUUCAUCUCCGGGGGUAGAGCACUGUUUCGGCUAGGGGGCCAUCCCGGCUUACCAACCCGAUGCAAACUGCGAAUACCGGAGAAUGUUAUCACGGGAGACACACGGCGGGUGCUAACGUCCGUCGUGAAGAGGGAAACAACCCAGACCGCCAGCUAAGGUCCCAAAGUCAUGGUUAAGUGGGAAACGAUGUGGGAAGGCCCAGACAGCCAGGAUGUUGGCUUAGAAGCAGCCAUCAUUUAAAGAAAGCGUAAUAGCUCACUGGUCGAGUCGGCCUGCGCGGAAGAUGUAACGGGGCUAAACCAUGCACCGAAGCUGCGGCAGCGACACUGUGUGUUGUUGGGUAGGGGAGCGUUCUGUAAGCCUGUGAAGGUGUGUCGUGAGGCAUGCUGGAGGUAUCAGAAGUGCGAAUGCUGACAUAAGUAACGAUAAAGCGGGUGAAAAGCCCGCUCGCCGGAAGACCAAGGGUUCCUGUCCAACGUUAAUCGGGGCAGGGUGAGUCGACCCCUAAGGCGAGGCCGAAAGGCGUAGUCGAUGGGAAACGGGUUAAUAUUCCCGUACUUGGUGUUACUGCGAAGGGGGGACGGAGAAGGCUAUGUUGGCCGGGCGACGGUUGUCCCGGUUUAAGCGUGUAGGUGUGUGUUCCAGGUAAAUCCGGUUCACUUUAACACUGAGGCGUGACGACGAGGCACUACGGUGCUGAAGCAACAAAUGCCCUGCUUCCAGGAAAAGCCUCUAAGCAUCAGGUAACAUCAAAUCGUACCCCAAACCGACACAGGUGGUCAGGUAGAGAAUACCAAGGCGCUUGAGAGAACUCGGGUGAAGGAACUAGGCAAAAUGGUGCCGUAACUUCGGGAGAAGGCACGCUGACACGUAGGUGAAGUGAUUUACUCAUGGAGCUGAAGUCAGUCGAAGAUACCAGCUGGCUGCAACUGUUUAUUAAAAACACAGCACUGUGCAAACACGAAAGUGGACGUAUACGGUGUGACGCCUGCCCGGUGCCGGAAGGUUAAUUGAUGGGGUCAGCGCAAGCGAAGCUCCUGAUCGAAGCCCCGGUAAACGGCGGCCGUAACUAUAACGGUCCUAAGGUAGCGAAAUUCCUUGUCGGGUAAGUUCCGACCUGCACGAAUGGCGUAAUGAUGGCCAGGCUGUCUCCACCCGAGACUCAGUGAAAUUGAACUCGCUGUGAAGAUGCAGUGUACCCGCGGCAAGACGGAAAGACCCCGUGAACCUUUACUAUAGCUUGACACUGAACAUUGAGCCUUGAUGUGUAGGAUAGGUGGGAGGCUUUGAAGUGUGGACGCCAGUCUGCAUGGAGCCGACCUUGAAAUACCACCCUUUAAUGUUUGAUGUUCUAACGUGGACCCGUUACCCGGGUUGCGGACAGUGUCUGGUGGGUAGUUUGACUGGGGCGGUCUCCUCCUAAAGAGUAACGGAGGAGCACGAAGGUUGGCUAAUCCUGGUCGGACAUCAGGAGGUUAGUGCAAUGGCAUAAGCCAGCUUGACUGCGAGCGUGACGGCGCGAGCAGGUGCGAAAGCAGGUCAUAGUGAUCCGGUGGUUCUGAAUGGAAGGGCCAUCGCUCAACGGAUAAAAGGUACUCCGGGGAUAACAGGCUGAUACCGCCCAAGAGUUCAUAUCGACGGCGGUGUUUGGCACCUCGAUGUCGGCUCAUCACAUCCUGGGGCUGAAGUAGGUCCCAAGGGUAUGGCUGUUCGCCAUUUAAAGUGGUACGCGAGCUGGGUUUAGAACGUCGUGAGACAGUUCGGUCCCUAUCUGCCGUGGGCGCUGGAGAACUGAGGGGGGCUGCUCCUAGUACGAGAGGACCGGAGUGGACGCAUCACUGGUGUUCGGGUUGUCAUGCCAAUGGCACUGCCCGGUAGCUAAAUGCGGAAGAGAUAAGUGCUGAAAGCAUCUAAGCACGAAACUUGCCCCGAGAUGAGUUCUCCCUGAGACUUAAAGUCUCCUGAAGGAACGUUGAAGACGACGACGUUGAUAGGCCGGGUGUGUAAGCGCAGCGAUGCGUUGAGCUAACCGGUACUA